GACGAACGCUGGCGGCGUGCUUAACACAUGCAAGUCGAGCGGAGCGGCGAACGGGUGAGUAACGCGUGAGUAACUGCCCCCCUCUCUGGUAUAACAGUUGGAAACGGCUGCUAAUACCGGAUAGUGGGGUAUGACUCGCGUCCUAUCAGCUUGUUGGUGGGGGAGUGUCCUACCAAGGCGAGGACGGGCAGCCGGACUCAGAGGGCGAGCGGCCACAGUGGGCUUAGCUGCGGGUCAAACUCCUACGGGAGGCAUCAGUGGGGAGUAGUGCACAAUGGGGGAAACCCUGAUGCAGCAACGCCGCGUGCGGGAUGACGGCCUUCGGGUUGUAAACCGCUUUCAGCCAUGACGCGGUAGUGGCAGAAGAAGCACCGGCUAACUACGUGCCAGCAGCCGCGGUAAUAC
rnacentral:rRNA from 1 species